rfam:Gorilla gorilla gorilla genomic chromosome, chr1, whole genome shotgun sequence
GUCGGGUGUGGUGGCUCACACCUGUAAUCCCAGCACUUUGGGAGGCUGAGACAGGCGGAUCACUUGAGGUCAGGAGCUCGAGACCAGCCUGGCCAACAUAGUGAAACCCUGUCUCUA